rnacentral:rRNA from 1 species
GACGAACGCUGGCGGCGUGCCUAAUACAUGCAAGUAGAACGCUGAAGGAGGAGCUUGCUUCUCUGGAUGAGUUGCGAACGGGUGAGUAACGCGUAGGUAACCUGCCUGGUAGCGGGGGAUAACUAUUGGAAACGAUAGCUAAUACCGCAUAAGAGUAGAUGUUGCAUGACAUUUGCUUAAAAGUUGCAAUUGCAUCACUACCAGAUGGACCUGCGUUGUAUUAGCUAGUUGGUGGGGUAGCGGCUCACCAAGGCGACGAUACAUAGCCGACCUGAGAGGGUGAUCGGCCACACUGGGACUGAGACACGGCCCAGACUCCUACGGGAGGCAGCAGUAGGGAAUCGUCGGCAAUGGACGGAAGGCUGACCGAGCAACGCCGCGUGAGUGAAGAAGGUUUUCGGAUCGUAAAGCUCGGUUGUAAGAGAAGAACGAGUGUGAGAGUGGAAAGUUCACACUGUGACGGUAUCUUACCAGAAAGGGACGGCUAACUACGUG